CACGUAGGGCGCAAGCGUUGUCCGGAAUUAUUGGGCGUAAAGAGCUCGUAGGCGGUUUGUUGCGUCGGCUGUGAAAUCCCGAGGCUCAACCUCGGGUCUGCAGUCGAUACGAGCAAACUAGAGUGUUGCAGGGGAGACUGGAAUUCCUGGUGUAGCGGUGAAAUGCGCAGAUAUCAGGAGGAACACCGGUGGCGAAGGCGGGUCUCUGGGCAACAACUGACGCUGAGGAGCGAAAGCGUGGGGGAGCGAACAGG
rnacentral:rRNA from 1 species